rnacentral:rRNA from 1 species
AUUGAACGCUGGCGGCAGGCCUAACACAUGCAAGUCGAACGAGUGGCGGACGGGUGAGUAAUGUCUGGGAAACUGCCUGAUGGAGGGGGAUAACUACGGGAAACGGUAGCUAAUACCGCAUACCAUCAGAUGUGCCCAGAUGGGAGUAGCUUGUGGGUGGGGUAACGGCUCACCAAGGCGACGAUCCCGAGCUGGUCUGAGAGGCUAACCAGCCCCACUGGAACUGAGACACGGUCCAGACUCCUACGGGAGGCAGCAGAGGGGAAUAUUGCACAAUGGGCGCAAGCCUGAUGCAGCCAUGCCGCGUGUAUGAAGAAGGCCGUCGGGUUGUAAAGUACGUUCAGCGGGGAGGCGUUACCCGCAGCAGAAGCACCGGCUAACUUCGUGCCAGCAGCCGCGGUAAUAC